rnacentral:rRNA from 1 species
CAGAACGCUGGCGGCAGGCCUAACACAUGCAAGUCGAACGAGAUCUUCGGAUCUAGUGGCGGACGGGUGAGUAACGCGUGGGAAUAUGCCCUUUGGUACGGAAUAGCCUCGGGAAACUGAGAGUAAUACCGUAUGUGUCCUCUGAUCGUGGUGGUUGGAGGAGAAAGAUUUAUCGCCAAAGGAUUAGCCCGCGUUGGAUUAGAUAGUUGGUGGGGUAAUGGCCUACCAAGUCUACGAUCCAUAGCUGGUUUGAGAGGAUGAUCAGCCACACUGGGACUGAGACACGGCCCAGACUCCUACGGGAGGCANCAGUGGGGAAUCUUAGACAAUGGGGGCAACCCUGAUCUAGCCAUGCCGCGUGAUCGAUGAAGGCCUUAGGGUUGUAAAGAUCUUUCAGUUGGGAAGAUAAUGACGGUACCAACAGAAGAAGCCCCGGCUAACUCCGUGCCAGCAGCCGCGGUAAUACGGAGGGGGCUAGCGUUAUUCGGAAUUACUGGGCGUAAAGCGCACGUAGGCGGACUGGAAAGUUAGAGGUGAAAUCCCAGGGCUCAACCUUGGAACUGCCUUUAAAACUAUCAGUCUAGAGAUC